rnacentral:rRNA from 1 species
UACAGGGGGUGCAAACGUUGCUCGGAAUUAUUGGGCGUAAAGCGCGCGUAGGCGGCCACUUAUGUCGGAUGUGAAAGCCCCUGGCUCAACUGGGGAAGUGCACCCGAAACUGAGCAGCUUGAAUACAAAAGAGGGCCGCGGAAUUCCUGGUGUAGCGGUGAAAUGCGCAGAUAAUCAGGAGGAACACCGGUGGCGAAGGCGGGUCUCUGGGCCGAUACUGACGCUGAGGAGCGAAAGCGUGGGGAGC